UCCCCUGUCGUUCAACGGACAGGACACAUGCCUACGAAGCUUGAAAUGGAGGUUCGAUUCCUCCCGGGGGAA
rnacentral:tRNA from 1 species